GUGAGUAAAGCAUCUGACGUGCCCUGGAAUGGGGGAUAACGUAGCGAAAGUUACGCUAAUACCGAUAUUCUGUGAGCAGGAAAGCAGGGGAUCGCAAGCUUGCGUUCUGGGAUCGGCGAUGUCGGAUUAGCUAAUUGGUGGGGUAAAGGGCUACCAAGGGGACGAUCCGUAACGGGUCUGAGAGGAUGAUCCGGCACACUGGGACUGAGACACGGGCCAGAAUCCUACGGGAGGCAGCCAGUGGGGAAUUUUGGACAAUGGGCGCAAGCCUGAUCCAGCCAUGNCGGUGAGUGAAGAAGGGCUUCGGGUUGUAAAGCUCUUUCGGUGGGGAAGAAAUUGCACGGGCGAAUACCCUGUGUAAUGACGGUACCUGGAGAAGAAGCACCGGGUAACUACGUGCCAACAAGCCGCGGUAAUACGUAGGGUGCGAGCGUUAAUCGGAAUUCACUGGGCGUAAAGCGUGCGCAGGCGGUUGGGUACAGUCAGAUGUGAAAUCCCCGGGCUCAACCUGGGAACUUGCAUUUGAAAACUGCCCNAGCUCGGAAGUUUGGCAGACGGGGGUCGGCAAUUUCCACGGUNGUAGCACGUGCAAACGCGUUA
rnacentral:rRNA from 1 species